GGGGUAGUAGUAUAAGCUAUUAUGCUGCUUUUCCAAAGCAGCGAUCUAAUAAUUAGCUGCCCCA
rnacentral:tRNA from 1 species